UAGCAAUACAUGGGUGGCGAGUGGCGCACGGGUGCGUAACACGUAUGCAAUUUGCCCAUAACUGGGGGAUAGCCCUCCGAAAGGAGGAUUAAUACCCCAUAACCCAGCGAGGUGGCAUCACCUUUCUGGUAAAUCUCCGGAGGUUAUGGAUGAGCAUGCGUCUGAUUAGCUAGUUGGUGAGGUAACGGCUCACCAAGGCAACGAUCAGUAGGGGGUCUGAGAGGAUGAUCCCCCACACGGGUACUGAGACACGGACCCGACUCCUACGGGAGGCAGCAGUAAGGAAUAUUGGACAAUGGAGGCAACUCUGAUCCAGCCAUGCCGCGUGAAGGAUGAAGGCCCUACGGGUUGUAAACUUCUUUUCUCUUAGAAAAAACUACUGGUUUCGUACCGGUACUGAUUGUACAAGAGGAAUAAGCAUCGGCUAACUUCGUGCCAGCAGCCGCGGUAAUACGAAGGAUGCAAGCGU
rnacentral:rRNA from 1 species